rnacentral:ribozyme from 1 species
AGCCCAGGAACUCCUAUCUCUACCUCCGCGUAGUACCUGCCGGAAUGCGAACAUCCUUGGGGAAGAUCGGUUAACCAACGCCGGUGGGAACUUUGGUCGUAGGCUGACAGGGAAGG